CCAGAACUGAAUGGUACUGACACUAUUAUGAGUUCAAAAAAGGAAGGCAGGAUAGCAAAGAAGCAAAAAACAACAUGAAGGCAAAGGUGCGGGGGAGGAAGAGAGCAAAAACGGAUCAGGCUGGUUUGGAGGAGAUGCGGUGCGGGAGGAGGAUGGGAGUCAGAGAAGAAAAAUAAGCUUCAGAGCCAGAAGUGGAGGUUGUAAUAACACUGAGUGCUACCUCCUCCCAAUGCUGAGGGAUUGGACGUACCACCUAAGAACACUAGUCUUUGGAUUUUCUAUUGUGCCUGUAGCAGUGGGCUAAACCUAAUGGUUCGGAGGAAGGUGAAAUCUUUCCCAUAGUGCAUGAAAUGUGGCUGUAUUGGGAUUUUGGUUUGUCGGUAAAGUGAUCCUUUUUUAUUUAUGAAGGCCUGGGGAAGCAUCAGAUGAAUUUUGGUCUUUUCUUAUUUGCCUGACUUCAGGCAAAUAACUCCAUCUUCUGUUGAUGAUCUAGGAUGAGCAAGGACACCACACAGAAAUGGGAAUUCUGAUUCAUUUUGCAUAACAAAAGGAAGUUGUGUUUGGAAGCUGGGUCUGUCAUCAAUCUUCUCCAGAGAUCUGCACCCUCCCCCCAGUGCAAGAGUGGUAGGCUGGGUUCCUCAUCCAUCCUUGGCCCUUGAAUCUGCAGCUGAAAUCCAACUGUUCGUCUUUAACCCCAAAUACUGGAAUACUUCUAAACUCCUGUGCAUCAUCAAAUUCACUGAGAGGACACUACCAUCUAUGUGUUAUAUAAAGAAGUCACCAGGGUGAAAAAAAUCCAGUUAUUUUUAUCAUCUUCCAAAUAUAUCUGCAGCAGUACAGUUAGCCCCUAUUUCUUAUUUCUAUACUCUACAUAACCUGUGAUGAUUGGAAUUCAUUAGUCCUACUAAUAGGAGCACCUUCCCCAUGGUUAGCACAUUUCCAAACCUAUCAGGUCCAAAUGCAAAUGCAAAUGGAACAAACCAUUUAAAGUGCUUAGAAAACCCUUAGUACUCCAAAUGUGUAUUUGUGAUGUUGUCAUACAUGGUUACCAUUCCCAUGAAGCUAUGAAGUCGUAUCUGUCAACCUAAUUGAGCUCUAUUGGAAAUAGCUCAUCUCUAGGGCA